GGAUUCGUAUUCGUACUGGACAAGUACAAAAUUCAUUGGUGAUACAACUUCAGGUUAUCGGCGUUCCACGUUCGGAGAAUGGGCUUCCCUUCCAGAGUCUCCAGUCGGUAGGCUCUCGGACCAUAGGUUUCUGCUACCGUGUAGGGCCCUUCCCAGUUUGGAGCCAACUUUCCUUGGUCCAGGGGCUUCGAGACCUCUGCCUUUCUCAGGACCAAGUCACCAGGCCUGA
rnacentral:lncRNA from 1 species